GUCUACGGCCAUACCAUGUUGAAAAUACCAGUCUCGUCCGAUCCCGGAAGUCAAGCAACAUUGGGUCAAGUUAGUACUUGGAUGGGUGACCGCCUGGGAAUACUUGAUGUUGUAGACAA
rnacentral:rRNA from 1 species